AUGUUUGGAAUCCACACGAAUAAGUUCCUCGGAUUUUACUUAAUCGAAAGAGGGAUUGAAGCAAAUUCGGAUAAAUGCAGAGCUUUCAUUGAGAUACCUACUCCAAAGAAAUCAAUCUAAAUGUUGGAAGACGUCUAAUAUGCCCCUCCUUUCUACAGGUUGUUGAGGAAGGAAUCUGCAUCUGAAUGGUCUGAAGAAUGCGAAUUUGAAGCGACUCUAGCCCGACUUAAACAUGCCCUAUCUCAAAUACCAAUUCUCUAAUGAUCCAAAAAGGGAGAGAUAAUGUUCAUAUAUCUAUCAAUUUCGGCAAAAGCAAUCAAUGAGCCUUGAUUAGAGAGAGCGACAGAGGUCAAAAACUCAUCUAUUUCACCAACAAAGCAUUACAAGGACCUGAAAUACGGUAUAUCAAAAUAGAAAAGUAGUCCUCACCCUAGUGAUGACCACAAGACAAUCAUACAAAAACUCAAAGAAAAACACAAUCUUACAAAAAUCUUUUCA
rnacentral:lncRNA from 1 species